CAGGUAGUGUAAUGAGUAAACGCUCUCGUGUGCAAACUACUGAUCAGCCAUGCCAAAAUUCUGUAGAAGAUGGACUUAAUUCUGCUAUUGGUACCACUACAGAACGAACUACUACGGGAAUCAGAAUUAGUUCACGUCUUCAGCAUCAAACUGCGAAUGAUCAGCUAUUGAUAAAUGUUACAACUGAAGAGCGAAAUGAUAAUGUGAUGUCAGCCAAUAAUCAAGAGCCUCCUACAGGUCCAACAAAAAAGGUGCGGGGAAAGACAAGAGGAGUGAAUGCAGAUAAGGUGUUUUCUCAAUUGAAUGCUAAAAUACCUGUCACUCUGACUGAACAAAAUGGCAGACCUACAGGCCCAUAUGCUGAAAUGUUGGCCAAUGAAUUGGUUUCACAGUUCGAAACCAUGCCCCACUAAAUGUGGAAAAAUGGAAGAAGAUUCCGAAAAUUGAAGUGGAUAAGUUGAUUAAAAGAAUAACGAACAAGUUUGACAUUGACAUGUCUCUUCCUUGGGUCGAGAGAUAUGUAAUUACAACAUGUCAGACUGUAUUUUGUAAUUUUCGUUAUAAGUUGAAGAAACAUUUUGAGAAAUUUUCAACAAUUGAGGAAGCAAUUGAAAACAAACACGAUGAUGUCAAGACUCAGGAAGAAUGGGAGUUUCUCUGUGCUCGUUUUUCUAGUGAAAAGUUUCAGAUUCGUUCAGAAAAGAAUGCUAUAAAUAGGUCAAAGUUGACACAUCACCACAAAUCUGGGUCAAAGUCAUUUAUGUCUCACCAAGAGCAAAUUGCAGCACAGACUGGAGAGAUGCAAAGUGCAAUUUAUCGCUUUGAAACAGAGUACAAAAGCACUAAAAAAGGUUGGCUUGGGAGCAAAAGAAAAGUGGGAUGAAAUGAUUAAGAUGCGAACUGAGACAACUCAACUUGAUGGAACUCGGACAAUGACAGAUGAUGAAAUUUGUGCAAAAGUACUCGGAGUCAAAUCAGGCUACAUCAAGGGUUGUGGUUUUGGCCCUAGACCUCCACCAUUAAGGGUCUCUCAUUUGUCGAUAAAUGAAAUGUCUGAAAAGAACAAAGAGUUGCAAGAACAGCUUCAGGAGACCCAACACCUUGUAGGGACUCAACAACAAAAGAUUGAUGCACAAAAUGAGGUGAUCCAAAGAUUGGAGGAGCAAGCCAAAAAGUUUGACGAGUUUAUGGCUAACUUUUCCAGGCAACAUCCAUCAAGUUAGUAUCUUUAUUAGAGAACUUAAACAUGGAGAAAUGAUUUUUAGAUCAUCUUGAUUUUGUUAUUGGUUUUAGACUAUUUUUGUUACUCCUUAUGUUAGAGAACACUUUGAUUGUUAUUUUGGUUUUAU